rnacentral:rRNA from 1 species
AGCGAACGCUGGCGGCAGGCCUAACACAUGCAAGUCGAACGAACCUUUCGGGGUUAGUGGCGGACGGGUGAGUAACACGUGGGAACGUGCCUUUAGGUUCGGAAUAACUCAGGGAAACUUGUGCUAAUACCGAAUGUGCCCUUCGGGGGAAAGAUUUCUCGCCUUUAGAGCGGCCCUCGUCUGAUUAGCUAGUUGGUUGAGGUAAUGGCUCACCAAGGCGACGAUCAGUAGCUGGUCUGAGAGGAUGAUCAGCCACAUUGGGACUGAGACACGGCCCAAACUCCUACGGGAGGCAGCAGUGGGGAAUCUUGCGCAAUGGGCGAAAGCCUGACGCAGCCAUGCCGGGUGAAUGAUGAAGGUCUUAGGAUUGUAAAAUUCUUUCACCGGGGACGAUAAUGACGGUACCCGGAGAAGAAGCCCCGGCUAACUUCGUG